rfam:Streptomyces hygroscopicus ATCC 53653 genomic scaffold supercont1.1, whole genome shotgun sequence.
CUUCAGCGACCCCAGCCACAGCGGCCGGUCCUCGGGGCGUCCCUGCCCGUACGUGGCGAUCAGGGCCUGUGCCUC